AGCCCUAGUAGUCAUCUAAGGUGUAACCUGCCCAGUGGCUCUUAAUUCCUAAAUUAAAAUUUUGUCAAUAGAGCUAAAAGGACGCGGUAACCUUGACCGUGAUAACGUAGCAUAAUCAUUCGCCAUUUAAUUGAUGGAUAGUAUGAAUGGUUGAACGAAUUUUUCACUGUCUUAGGAAGAAAUAAACGAAAUUGAACUAGUAGUUAAGAUGCUAUUUUAAACUGUAAGACGAAAAGACCCUAUAGAGCUUAACUAUAAUCUUUAUAUAAAACGAAAUAAAGUUAUAUUAAUUUUAUAAAGAUUGGUAGUUUAGUUGGGGCGACUGUCUUCUAAGUCUAACGAAGAUAAGCAAUAUUAAUAAAAAAAUUUAUUGUAUAAUAAAAUAAUUUAACAAUUACAACAGUAGGCUAUAAUGACCCGUUGGAAUAUUGAAAAAUAACUAACGAUUAAUUAAUAAAAGCUACCUUAGGGAUAACAGGAUAAUUUCAUUUUAGAGUCCCUAUCGAAAAUGAAGUUUGUCACCUCUAUGUUGAAUUAAGAUAACCUGAUAAUGCAGCAGUUAUCAAAGGUAGGUCUGUUCGACCUUUAAAAUCUU
rnacentral:rRNA from 1 species